UUAAAACAAUAAAUAUAUCAAAGCUGCAUAAAAAUAGAUAUAACAUUUUACACAACCUGUCCAACAACCCUAUACAUCAUCUCCUGUUUGAUCUCAAUCAAACAGUACAUACCAAAAGAUUACAUAAAACUAAAGCUAAUAAAUAACCAUCCGACAAAGUCUAACUAAUACAUACUUUAACUGACUAUGGACACAGAGGAUAAUGAAUCAAUGUACAUCCUCCC
rnacentral:lncRNA from 1 species